UGAGGAAUAUUGGUCAAUGGGCGAUAGCCUGAACCAGCCAAGUAGCGUGCAGGAUGACGGCCCUAUGGGUUGUAAACUGCUUUUGUACGGGAAUAAAGUGAGCUACGUGUAGUUUAUUGCAUGUACCGUACGAAUAAGGACCGGCUAAUUCCGUGCCAGCAGCCGCGGUAAUACGGAAGGUCCGGGCGUUAUCCGGAUUUAUUGGGUUUAAAGGGAGCGUAGGCCGUAUAUUAAGUGUGUUGUGAAAUGCAGAUGCUCAACAUUUGACUUGCAGCGCAUACUGGUAUACUUGAGUGCGCGCAACGUAGGCGGAAUUCGUCGUGUAGCGGUGAAAUGCUUAGAUAUGACGAGGAACUCCGAUUGCGAAGGCAGCUUACGGGAGCGUUACUGACGCUGAUGCUCGAAGGUGCGGGUAUCAAACAGG
rnacentral:rRNA from 1 species